UCUUGCAGGCAUUCUCUCCCUGGCUCUUCCUAGGUGAGGGCUCUGAUGGAGAGGGUGAAUGAGAGCAAGAGCUGAGGGCAGCCUCUGGCCAAAGGCCUGUGGGAACUGAGGCCCUCAGGCUGAUAGCCUCCACGGAGCCGGGUCCUGCCAACAAUGGGCAUCUGGCAGAAAGAGAAGCACUGAAAUUGUCAGAGGAUCUACUCACUACAUCACUGUGGUGACCUGCAGAGAAGCAAUGCACAUGGACUUCCCAACAACGUCAAGUAGCAGGUGACUACACAAGAUGGGGGAACGUCACCACAGCCAGCUCUCCAGACCCUCCACAGCCUGCUUUGUGUGAGGGCCACCAACUGGGUGUGCUGGAGGCCAAGGAAUUGUAGCUGGACAAGUCAAGCAGGAAAGGCUCCUCUAGGAGGCCGGUGGGCCCAUUGUGGGAAGUCAACAGCUGGAGUGCCU